AUUAUGGCACAAUGGAGGGAACUCUGAUGCAGCAACGCCGCGGGAGUGAAGAAGGAUUACGGAUCGAAAAACGUUGCCAUGAGGGAAAAAUAAAUGACGGUACCCAAUGAGGAAGCCUCGACUAACUACGUGCUAGCAGCUGCGGUAAUACGUAGGGGGCGAGCGUUGUCCGGAAUUACUGGGCGUAAAUGGUACGUAGGCGGCUAUAUAAGUCAGGUGUGAAAUACCAGUGCUUAACACUGGAAUUGCAUUUGAAACUGUGUAGCUUGAGUGCAGGAGAGGAAAGUGGAAUUCCUAGUGUAGCGGUGAAAUGCGUAGAGAUUAGGAGGAACACCAGUGGCGAAGGCGACUUUCUGGACUGUAACUGACGCUGAGGUACGAAAGCGUGGGUAGCGAACA
rnacentral:rRNA from 1 species